rnacentral:rRNA from 1 species
AUUGAACGCUGGCGGCAUGCCUUACACAUGCAAGUCGAACGGCAGCGGGGGAGAAGCUUGCUUUUCCUGCCGGCGAGUGGCGAACGGGUGAGUAAUACAUCGGAACGUGCCCUGUAGUGGGGAUAACUAGUCGAAAGAUUAGCUAAUACCGCAUACGACCUGAGGGUGAAAGUGGGGGACCGCAAGGCCUCAUGCUAUAGGAGCGGCCGAUGUCUGAUUAGCUAGUUGGUAGGGUAAAGGCCUACCAAGGCGACGAUCAGUAGCUGGUCUGGGAGGACAAUCGGCCACACUGGGACUGAGACACGGCCCAGACUCCUACGGGAGGCAGCAGUGGGGAAUUUUGGACAAUGGGCGAAAGCCUGAUCCAGCAAUGCCGCGUGUGUGAAGAAGGCCUUCGGGUUGUAAAGCACUUUUGUCCGGAAAGAAAUGGCUCUGGUUAAUACCUGGGGUCGAUGACGGUACCGGAAGAAUAAGGACCGGCUAACUACGUGCCAGCAGCCGCCGUAA